AAUUAAUCUGAGGGGGGAAAAAUAGUUUAUUUUUAAAAAGCUUCCGAGUUUAUUUUCUUUUGAUCUGACUUUCCAUCUUUAAAAUAUACUUUUGCACUGUUGGGAAGCGGUUGGCCUUGCUGUUUUAUGUGUAUGGUUUUUCUUCCCAAUGAAAAUCCUUCCUUCCAGCUAUUUGACCAUUGCCAAGGGCCUGGGUUUUUUUUUUUGUUUUGUUUUGUUUUUUGUUUUUUGUUUUUUUUUUGCUUUCCAGCGUAAUGGCUUCUGUUUACCUCACUGGAUUGCAUCCCGUUUCCUGGCAGCUAAUUUAAAUCUGGACGACUGGGACGGCUGGGAGGAUGAGCCAGAGUGAACAGCAGCACGUGCUAUUACAGAAGUAGAACCUAUGGGAAAGGACUUUAACUUUUCGUUCUACUACAAGAAGCAUUUUGCGAUAAAUCAUCAAGCCCGUCAUACAAGGAGCAAGUCCAGGACCCCACACAAGUAGCUCGAACUCUAUUUUGAGGAGAAGAACAAAGAACCACUGCAGAAGCACAGAAGCCCCGCGUCUUUGCCCAGGACAAUGAAUUUGAGCCAGUAAUGUGCGACACUGGGAUGGAUGUCUGUUAGUCCCGGUCUUCAUGACAAUUCCUCUGUCUGGCCUGGGAGAAGAACCUGCUAAUUUCGCUCUUUUGAACCGGCGAGCAUAAUAGAUGCCUAAACAUCCAUUACGUACCUAUUAUGUUCCCAUUAGGUACAAUAAUAGCCAAUCUGAAUGUGGCCUUAAUUGCUUUAUGUAAAUGCUCUAGAAAUGCGUGUGUUAACAAUAAAAACUUUUACUGCCAGAAGAAAACCUACCAACAAAGUCACAGCUUCUUGAUAAUGGCCCAUUAUCCAUUAACUGUGUGCACAUAAAAGAACAUCUCUUUUGUAAAAUGCCCUUGCAAUGGGACUGCAGCUGAGAGGUGAUAUUUCUCAUAAAAGUGUUGUCUAAUCAAACACCAGCAGCAAUUUGCAAAGGCCAGGAGGGCAGCGUGGAAAGGAUUCUGAAGAGGCAAAAGACGAGAAAGAUGCUGGGGGACACCGUAAAAUAAGACAGGAAGAUCUGAGGGGCUCUCUGGGCAGGAGGUGGCUAAGACAGAC
ensembl:lncRNA